rnacentral:tRNA from 3 species
CGGGAUGUAGCGCAGCUUGGUAGCGCACCUGGCUGGGGGCCAGGGGGUCGCAGGUUCGAAUCCUGUCAUCCCGA